rnacentral:rRNA from 1 species
UACGGAGGUGGCAAGCGUUGUUCGGAAUUACUGGGCGUAAAGGGCGCGUAGGCGGCAAGGCAAGUCAGGUGUGAAAGCCCCGAGCUUAACUCGGGAAUUGCAUCUGAAACUGCUGUGCUUGAGUUCUGGAGGGGGUAGUGGAAUUCCCAGUGUAGCGGUGAAAUGCGUAGAUAUUGGGAGGAACAUCGGUGGCGAAGGCAGCCAUCUGGGAAGCGACGUGAACGCUGAGACGGCGAAAGCGUGGGGAUCAAACAGG